rnacentral:rRNA from 1 species
CAUGCCUUACACAUGCAAGUCGAACGGCAGCACGGGUGCUUGCACCUGGUGGCGAGUGGCGAACGGGUGGGUAACGCGUGGGAACGUGCCCUUCAGUUCGGGAUAACCCAGGGAAACUUGGGCUAAUACCGGAUACGUGCGAGAGCAGAAAGAUUUAUCGCUGAAGGAUCGGCCCGCGUCUGAUUAGCUAGUUGGUGGGGUAAUGGCCCACCAAGGCGACGAUCAGUAGCUGGUCUGAGAGGAUGAUCAGCCACAUUGGGACUGAGACACGGCCCAAACUCCUACGGGAGGCAGCAGUGGGGAAUAUUGGACAAUGGGCGCAAGCCUGAUCCAGCCAUGCCGCGUGAGUGAUGAAGGCCUUAGGGUUGUAAAGCUCUUUCGUCCGGGACGAUAAUGACGGUACCGGAAGAAGAAGCCCCGGCUAACUUCGUGCCAGCCGCCGCCGUAA